AUAUUUAUCUGGCAGGGGAGAUACCAUGAUCACAAAGGUGGUUUUCCCAGGGCAGGCUCAUCCAUUGCACUCCAAAUGUGCUGACCCCUGCAAUUUCCUCAAAUGUAGGAAACUCAAUUGCAUAAUGUGUAGCAGUGGGAGACUGCGUUCAUGCUUUCCCUUG
ensembl:snRNA U1 U1 spliceosomal RNA